rnacentral:lncRNA from 1 species
UGGAAAUUUUCAAAACAAAAUAGGCAAACCCAACCUUCCUUUUAUGGUCAUAAACCUUGUGUUUAAAUUUCAUAGAUUUCUAUUUACUUAUACUAAAGUUAUGGUGCGAAAACCAAGAAUAAUGCUUAUUUGGGCCCCUUUUUGGCCCAUAAUACCUAAAAUGUUGGGACCUCAACUCCCAAAAUCAAUCCCAACCUUCCUUUUGUGGUCAUAAACCUUGUGUUUAAAUUUCAUUGAUUUCUAUUUACUUAUACUAAAGUUAGUGUACGAAAACCAAGAAUAAUGCUUAUUUGGGCCCUUUUGUGGCCCCUAAUUCCUAAACUGUUGGAACCAAAACUCCCAAAAUCAAUCCCAACCUUCCUUUUGUGGUCAUAAACCUUGUGUCAAAAUUUCAUAGAUUUCUAUUUACUUAAACUAAAGUUAUAGUGCGAAAACCAAGAAAAUGCUUAUUUGGGCCCUUUUUGGCCCCUAAUUCCUAAAAUGUCGGGACCAAAACUCCCAAAAUCAAUCACCUAGGUCUCUAAUUUACAACUUUAAGUCACAAACUAUACAAAAAAUGUGUCAUGUUAAUUCCAGGGUAAAAUUUUAAGUGAAACAAACUUUAAGUCCCCUUUGACUUUGUCAGUUGUGGACUCACAAUUAUUCAUAUAUAAAAUUAUCUAAAUCAGAUGAUUACUAACAUCAUUUAAUUUCACAAUCUGAUUUAUUCUAUUCAAGAAAAAGUCAACCCAUUCUACUUUCAUCCUUUUUUACAGUAUGGUUUUGUUUGCACUGUUUUAUCAUUUUUCAACAUUUUAAUUAGGCAAAAUAAAACCAGAGAGAUACUCCGCAGGGCGCAGUUUUAUACGACCGCAGAGGUUGAACCCUGAACGGUUGGGGCAAGUAUGGACACAACAUUCAAGCUGGAUACAGCUCUAAAUUUGGAUUGUGAUUAAAUAGUUGACACAGCAUAGGUUUCUGACACAGAAUGAAUGUGGUCUAAUGAACUUAAAUUUUUUUUUUUUUGCCUUUGAGCAAUUCACUAUGCUGUUGAAUAUUAAUCCUCUCAAAAAAAUGUUUGAAGAAAUUUUCUUUUUAUUUAUGAAAUCUGAAAUGAGAAAAAAUUUAACCCCCCCCCUUUUUUUUCACAUCCCCCUUUCCCUUUUUCCAAAACUGAUCUCAAUUCAAAUUUCUAAUGGAG